CUCGAAGGUUCGAUAAUGAUCC
rnacentral:rRNA from 1 species